AGUGAACGCUGGCGGUAGGCCUAACACAUGCAAGUCGAACGGCAGCACAGUAAGAGCUUGCUCUUACGGGUGGCGAGUGGCGGACGGGUGAGGAAUACAUCGGAAUCUACUUUUUCGUGGGGGAUAACGUAGGGAAACUUACGCUAAUACCGCAUACGACCUACGGGUGAAAGCAGGGGAUCUUCGGACCUUGCGCGAUUGAAUGAGCCGAUGUCGGAUUAGCUAGUUGGCGGGGUAAAGGCCCACCAAGGCAACGAUCCGUAGCUGGUCUGAGAGGAUGAUCAGCCACACUGGAACUGAGACACGGUCCAGACUACUACGGGAGGCAGCAGUGGGGAAUAUUGGACAAAGGGCGCAAGCCUGAUCCAGCCAUACCGCGUGGGUGAAGAAGGCCUUCGGGUUGUAAAGCCCUUUUGUUGGGAAAGAAAAGCAGCAGGUUAAUACCCCGCUGUUCUGACGGUACCCAAAGAAUAAGCACCGGCUAACUUCGUG
rnacentral:rRNA from 1 species